AGUAACUGCGAGUGAAGCGGGAAAAGCUCAAAUUUAAAAUCUGGCGGUCUUUGGCCGUCCGAGUUGUAAUCUAGAGAAGUGUUACCCGCGUCGGACCGUGUACAAGUCUCCUGGAAUGGAGCGUCAUAGAGGGUGAGAAUCCCGUCUUUGACACGGACUACCGAGGCUUUGUGGUGCGCUCUCAAAGAGUCGAGUUGUUUGGGAAUGCAGCUCAAAAUGGGUGGUAAAUUCCAUCUAAAGCUAAAUAUUGGCGAGAGACCGAUAGCGAACAAGUACCGUGAGGGAAAGAUGAAAAGAACUUUGGAAAGAGAGUUAAACAGUACGUGAAAUUGCUAAAAGGGAAACGCUUGAAGUCAGUCGCGUUGUCCGGGAAUCAGCCUUCCUUCUGGUUGGUGUACUUCCUGGUUGACGGGCCAGCAUCAGUUUUGACCGGUGGAAAAAGUUCGAGGGAAGGUGGCACCUUCGGGUGUGUUAUAGCCCUCGUUCGUAUACAUCGGUUGGGACUGAGGAACUCAGCACGCCGCAAGGCCGGGAUUCGUCCACGUUCGUGCUUAGGAUGCUGGCAUAAUGGCUUUAAUCGACCCGUCUUGAAACACGGACCAAGGAGUCUAACAUGCCUGCGAGUGUUUGGGUGGAAAACCCGAGCGCGUAAUGAAAGUGAAAGUUGAGAUCCCUGUCAUGGGGAGCAUCGACGCCCGG
rnacentral:rRNA from 1 species